AUUUUGAAAGAGUCGAAACGGGAAACAAUAAGGGAGUCCGAUCCUAAAUGUGUUUGUGGACGUGUUUGUGACGUAUGAGACCGACGGCGAUUUGAUUUUCUUAAGUAGCUGGCUGAGGAAGGCACCAGAACCUGGGGACAAAGCAAAGACACAAAGAGACAUGAGGCAACAUCCACCUCCAGUGUGUGGUUUCUAGAGUGUGUGUGUGUGUGUGGCAGGUCUCUGAGCUGUGAUUAAAAUGUACGUCAGGCAGCAGCUAAGACCUGAAGCAUUCAGAGCUGAUCCGGGGUCAGGUCAGCUGAUCGGGGGCCACUUUUAGACUAAAUCCCAAACACAAACACGGCAGAAGAAAAGCAGGGAGAGGACGAGGAGCCCGGCGGUCAAAAGACUGAUAGGAGUGGAUCAUGGGAAGACGAUGAUGAAGAGGCAGAUGAUUAAGAAGCUCUUUUUCACUUCUCUGGGAAAGAUCCCGAGGAUUGAGUCGGAGGCUGAGUAAAUCCUGACCCUUAACGCUGAUGCCAUGAACCGGCGGGAGGAGCAGAGCAACAAUGAGGAGUCUAUAAUCUGCUCCGAGCUGCUCCAUUCACUCUUCAUUAAGACACAAUGAGGACAAAUAACAAGUCCACUGUUGGUGGAGUGACGUCACCUUCAGAACAAUCCACUCCAUCAACUAAUCUGAGCUUUGAACUGCAGCUCUGAAGAGGCAGAGGCUGCAGCAGCAGCUGCACAGGUGGAGCCGGUUAGAAAGACAAAAACACAAACUGGACCAGACUCAGACUGGGGUGGAUCGGCUGAUACUGUCAAAUAUGUUGGUUUGGCCCACUGACGGUCAUCAAGGCUGGUGACAGUUGUUGGUUCCGUUAGCCUAUUAUGAGGAUUUGGUGGCUAAUUUAUGGUCUUUACAUUAGCCCAGGAGUUGGAACUAUUUCUGAUAUAUAAAACCAAGUAACUAUCAGCUAAUUUCAUCUUUUGGUUGUAAUUGUUUUAUUUUUUUAUAACCUGCAAGCUGUGGCUUUCUUUUAGGUAAACAGUAACUUUUUUGCUAUGUUUUAGGUAUCACUUUGAGGUAUCGUCUUUGAUAAAAGAGUGCUUUUGUUAAGUAUCUUUGUGCUAACAUUUAGCAAUUACUGCUAGAGUUGUAAGAUAACUUUAACCUAUCUGUUACUGGUUACUUUAAAACAAAACUUUAGCCAAAUUGUCGAUAAACUGUCGACCUUCCUUGGCCCAUUGUUCUGGAUCAUCUUUAGCUGCAGAUGCUAUUAUGGCUUAUUGUAUCAGUAUUUGUCAUUUUACCAAAAAAAAAAAAGUAAUUUUAUUGUUUGGGGCUAAAUUGUAGCUUUUUGGUUGACUUUGUUGAUUUUUGUGACUCAUGGAAAACAACAGUAUUAGUGCUGUCGGUGACAGAAACCCUCCUGAACAUUUAACUCUCUUGUCCAGAUGAAGUUUAAACUGUAGGUUUUAAACCAGAGAAUUUUCAGCAGAUAAAUCUGUUAUUUUUUCUUAUUUUUUGUUGUUUUGUUUUAUUUUCCCGACUAUAAACCCUUCUCUCGCUGCGUCUCCUACAAUUAAACCUCCUUUCUUUAUUUCUCUGCAUAAAAAUUUCCCUGUGGAUAUAUGACCCCCGUGUUUUCCCAACAUCCCACUCCCUCCCUCCCUCCCUCCUUCCUGUGUCAGCUGAAGUGAUUGCCUCUCUCUUCCACCCCCCAGUGGUAUUUAGCUAUUCUCAUUUGCAUGUACAUGCCCUCGCUGUGCGGCCUGUGGGCCCCGGAGAUCGAUCAACGGUGCCGCGCCGAGGUUUAUGACGUGUACGUUUUGCUCAGAGAGGCCGAGCGGCGAACAACACAGAGCAUGUUGUCUUUUCAGUGGGUGAACAGGGCAGGACCUGGUGGUUAGAACGGAAAAACUGUUCAAAUAUUAUGAGUCUGAGCAACGUUGAAGCACAAAUGAAGCAUUUUGUUGCAUAAACCGGAGAGGGAACAGAUGGACCUGUUGGUAACGAGGCUCAACAAUAUUACAUAAAUGAAUGAUUCACGUUUUUAGAACAGAUUUAAAAAAAAAUAACAUUAGAUUAAAUUUAAAUUGGUAAUUUUAGCUC